rnacentral:rRNA from 1 species
GACGAACGCUGGCGGCGUGCUUAACACAUGCAAGUCGAACGGAAAGGCCCUGCUUUUGUGGGGUGCUCGAGUGGCGAACGGGUGAGUAACACGUGAGUAACCUGCCCUUGACUUUGGGAUAACUUCAGGAAACUGGGGCUAAUACAGGAUAGGAGAUCCUGCUGCAUGGUGGGGGUUGGAAAGUUUCGGCGGGUGGGGAUGGACUCGCGGCUUAUCAGCUUGUUGGUGGGGUAGUGGCUUACCAAGGCUUUGACGGGUAGCCGGCCUGAGAGGGUGACCGGCCACCUUGGGCCUGAGGUACGGCCCAGACUCCUACGGGAGGCAGCAGUGGGGAAUAUUGCACAAUGGGCGGAAGCCUGAUGCAGCAACGCCGCGUGCGGGAUGACGGCCUUCGGGUUGUAAACCGCUUUCGCCUGUGACGAAGCGUUAGUGACGGUAAUGGGUAAAGAAGCACCGGCUAACUACGUG